rnacentral:tRNA from 4 species
AGGGCUAUAGCCAAGCGGUAAGGCAUCGGAUUUUGAUUCCGUGACCCGCAGGUUCGAAUCCUGCUAGCCCUGCCA